CGUUAGACGAACGGUCUGGAAAGUCCGACGAUACAGGGUGAUAGUCCCGUAGUUGACGACGUGUGUUCAGUGAAAUCGAGUAGGGCGGGACACGUGAUAUCCUGUCUGAAUAUGGGGGGACCAUCCUCCAAGGCUAAAUACUACUGACUGACCGAUAGUGAACCAGUACCGUGAGGGAAAGGCGAAAAGAACCCCUGUGAGGGGAGUGAAAUAGAACCUGAAACCGUGUACGUACAAGCAGUAGGAGCAGGCUUUGUCCUGUGACUGCGUACCUUUUGUAUAAUGGGUCAGCGACUUAUAUUCAGUGGCAAGGUUAACCAUCUAGGGGAGCCGUAGGGAAACCGAGUCUUAACUGGGCGUUCAGUCUCUGGAUAUAGACCCGAAACCAGGUGAUCUAGCCAUGGGCAGGUUGAAGGUUGAGUAACAUCAACUGGAGGACCGAACCGACUAAUGUUGAAAAAUUAGCGGAUGACUUGUGGCUAGGGGUGAAAGGCCAAUCAAACCUGGAGAUAGCUGGUUCUCCCCGAAAGCUAUUUAGGUAGCGCCUCGGACGAAUACUACUGGGGGUAGAGCACUGUUAAGGCUAGGGGGUCAUCCCGACUUACCAACCCUUUGCAAACUCCGAAUACCAGUAAGUACUAUCCGGGAGACACACGGCGGGUGCUAACGUCCGUCGUGGAGAGGGAAACAACCCAGACCGCCAGCUAAGGUCCCAAAUUACUACUAAGUGGGAAACGAUGUGGGAAGGCUCAGACAGCCAGGAUGUUGGCUUAGAAGCAGCCAUCAUUUAAAGAAAGCGUAAUAGCUCACUGGUCGAGUCGGCCUGCGCGGAAGAUGUAACGGGGCUAAGUA
rnacentral:rRNA from 1 species